UGGGGAAUAUUGGGCAAUGGGCGAAAGCCUGACCCAGCAACGCCGCGUGAGGGAAGAAGGUUUUCGGAUUGUAAACCUCUGUCCUUGGGGACGAAAAAAAUGACGGUACCCAAGGAGGAAGCCCCGGCUAACUACGUGCCAGCAGCCGCGGUAAUACGUAGGGGGCAAGCGUUGUCCGGAAUUACUGGGCGUAAAGGGUGCGUAGGCGGUUGCCUAAGUCAGAUGUGAAAUCCCCGGGCUCAACUCGGGUGGUGCAUUUGAAACUGGGUAACUAGAGUGCAGGAGAGGGAAGCGGAAUUCCUAGUGUAGCGGUGAAAUGCGUAGAUAUUAGGAGGAACACCAGUGGCGAAGGCGGCUUUCUGGACUGUAACUGACGCUGAGGCACGAAAGCGUGGGGAGCAAACAG
rnacentral:rRNA from 1 species